rnacentral:rRNA from 1 species
UGUGGUGUUCGGGAGGGUCCAUUAUCCCGAGAUUAUGCGACGCGUCCAAGUCCUUCUUGAACGGGGCCACAGCCCAUAGAGGGUGCCAGGCCCGUAGCGACCGUCGCUGAUCGCGGGAGGAUCUCUCCUUAGAGUCGGGUUGCUUGAGAGUGCAGCCCUAAGUGGGUGGUAAACUCCAUCUAAGGCUAAAUAUGACCACGAGACCGAUAGCGAACAAGUACCGUGAGGGAAAGUUGAAAAGCACUUUGAAGAGAGAGUUCAAGAGUACGUGAAACCGUUUAGGGGUAAACCUGAGAAACCCGAAAGGUCGAAGGGAGAAAUUCAUUCGCGUUUCGCGACAGGCGUUGGGCGGUCGAGUGACGGGUUGCGUUCGCGUAGCCCGCGCCUUCCGUUCUCCGAACCGGUCGCGAACGCGUGCACUUUUCUCCUGGUAGGACGUCGCGAUCCGUUGGGUGUCGGUCUACGGCGUGCGGUGGAGCCCGUUCGUACCACGUGUGCGAGCGGACCCGCGCGUUCCGGCCGACUCGCUCGACGGUAUAAGAAAGGUUUAAGGCCGCUCUCGGAGCGUUCGACUCGCGGCAAGCGCGCCAGAUGCGUCGGCGAUCGGACCUAGUGCCGAUUCUGACCUCUGGUGACUGUUGGCCGCGAAUGUCUCGGACAGACCUUUAAGACCGAUCUGCGACGCUAUAGCUUUGGGUACUUUCAGGACCCGUCUUGAAACACGGACCAAGGAGUCUAGCAUGUGCGCGAGUCAUUGGGAAUCACUAAACCUAAAGGCGCAAUGAAAGUAAAGGUCUUCCUCGCGAAGGCCAAGGGAAGACGGGCGGUUUACCCUUAAAAGUGGCCGCCCCGCAUUCCCGGGGCGUCUCGUUCUCAUUGCGAGAAGAGGCGCACCAUGAGCGUACACGCUGGGACCCGAAAGAUGGUG